UGGGGGAUAUUGCACAAUGGGCGAAAGCCUGAUGCAGCGACGCCGCGUGGGGGAUGAAGGCUUUCGGGUUGUAAACCUCUUUCGCUAUCGAACAAGGCCCGCUUAGGGUGGGUUGAGGGUAGGUGGAGAAGAAGCGCCGGCUAACUACGUGCCAGCAGCCGCGGUAAUACGUAGGGCGCGAGCGUUGUCCGGAAUUAUUGGGCGUAAAGGGCUUGGCGGCGGCUUGUUGCGCCUGCUGUGAAAACGCGGGGCUUAACUUCGCGCGUGCAGUGGGUACGGGCAGGCUUGAGUGUGGUAGGGGUGACUGGAAUUCCAGGUGUAGCGGUGGAAUGCGCAGAUAUCUGGAGGAACACCGAUGGCGAAGGCAGGUCACUGGGCCAUUACUGACGCUGAGGAGCGAAAGCAUGGGUAGCGAACAGG
rnacentral:rRNA from 1 species